AGUCGAAGUGAAAAGGACAAAGAUGGGAUCGGAGGAAUGGAACACACAAUAUAUAUGUGUGUGUUAACUUCGUUUUAUUUUGUACAAUGAACAUGCCACCUUUAGCAGAAUGAAACAAGACAGAAACGUUACAAGGAAAUGAGCAUCGAUGGAGUCACAGGGGAUUACCAAACCCAAAUUGACAUCAAUCUUCUCGCCGACCAACUAGAGGCAAAACUAUGCGACGUUCCUUUGGACGACGGCGGCCGGCGACACGGCUCGCCGGAGUGCCACAUUUCCAUCGUGAAGCCGCAAGUCCGCCUCGUCGACGUAUCGCAGUACGCUCCGCAGGUGCUGCUCGUCGGCGCCUACCACCACAGGUCGCUGGACCGGUGUGAGCUGGACAAGCUGGCGGCGCUCCGGCGUGCCCUCCCCGACGGCGACGACGAGCGGGCGUCCACGCUGAGGCGCUACCUGGCGGCCAUCGCCGGCCUCGAAAGCGAGGCGCGGAGCUACUACCGCGAUGACACGGAUGACAUGGGCGCGGAGGAGUUUGCGUUGAUGCUGCUGCUCGACGGGUGGUACAUACUCCACUACUUCGGCGUCGGCGUCGGCGGCGGCGGGAGAGCGGUGGACAUCUUCGCCGUGCGCGACGUGUUCUACCUGCUCGAGAACCAGAUACCCUUCUUCAUCCUCGAGAAGGUCUACGAGCUGAUCCACUCUCCCCCUCCUUCUCCGGGAGCUACAGCCAUCGCCGGCGGCGGGUCGUCGUCUUCCUCCGUCGUGGUUGUCGAUGGGUUCGUGCGCCAUCUCCGGUCACUCCUCCGAGACCAGGGCUACUCGAAUCUGGAGGUGGACAUCACCAGCACACGCCCCUGUCACCUCGUCCACUUACUCCACAUGCACUUCACACCCAUGGCGAUGGCGCCGGCCGCCGACGACGCUGCCGCUGUCCCCAUCCCCACCAGGCGCGCGCGCGCCACCGUGUACCGCUGGCGCGGGGCGACGCAGUACCACGCCGCCGGCGUGAGGUUCAAGAGACGGGCCCUCGGCCUCGGCGACGCACGGUGCGUCCUCGACGUGGAGCUCCGGCGGCUGACGCUGCACGUCCCGACGCUGACGGUGGACAACAACACGUGGCGGGUCCUGCGCAACCUGAUGGCGCUGGAGCAGAACAACCCAAACCUGGGCAGCCACGUCACGGCCUACUGCCUCUUCAUGUCGCAUCUCGCCGGCACGGCGAACGACGUCGCGCUCCUGGCGAGCAAAGGCGUCGUCGUGCACUUCAUGGGGUGCGACGAGGACGUCGCUAAGGGAUUCGCCGGCCUGUGCAGGGGCGUGGCGCUCAGCGUCGACGACGCGCGCCAGAACUACCUGCAGCCGACGUGGGAGAAGAUGGAGCGGCGGUACAGCAGCCGGCCAGUCAACUGGAUGGCGCUGCUGCGGCGGCGGCAUUUGAGCAACCCGCUGGUGGCGACCGCGCUGCUCGCCGCCAUUGUUGGCCUAGUCUGUGAAGUUCUUCAGGCUGUGUAUGCCGUCAAGAGCUACAAGACUAGAAGCUAAGCCACUGAGACAACUGGUUGCAAAAAAAGAUUGUUGUACUUCCAAGCCCCCCCAUGGCUCCUGCGUCCAAGCCUAGUUCUCCUAAUCCCUAAAAAUCUUCUUUGGAUGUGAGCUGUGGUAUGCUGAAUUUGGUGGGCAGCUGAUUGCGCAGUCAACUAAUCAAGUCUACUUUUGGCCAAUACUUAAGCUGGGGUUUCUUGUAACCCAGUUUUGCUGUAACUUCGGCGUUCAAAAAAAAAAGUUUUGCUGUAACGUUGCUGGUCUGCUGCACAUGUAUUGCAGUAUGAACUAUUGAUAUUCAUGUUGGACGUUUGUUGUUGCUUGUCAGACAGAUGAUUAUUGUGUGGUUUUAGAAACAUCAUUACUUCAAUAUAGUAUUAUCUAGUACUCCAAAUA